rnacentral:lncRNA from 1 species
UAUAUAAAAAUGUAUAUAUAUUUAUUGAUGUAUAUAUAUGUGAGUGUGUCUGCGUAUUUAUAUAUAUGUAUAUGUAUGUAUGUAUAUAUACCUACACGUGUGUAUAUAUCAAUAUAAAUAUAUGUGCCUAUGCACACAGAAACACACAUACAGUUGUAUAUGUACAUGCGUAUAUGUAUAUAUAUAUAUAUAUAUAUAUAUAUAUAUACAUACGUGUUUAUUCGUCUAUAUACGUUACUUAAAGCCUUUUACAAGACCGUUCGUUCUUUGGAAUUUUUCACACAAAGCGAUGCAUGCAGUAUGUAUUCAAAGAAAACACAUCAUAGUGUGCGGAAAAUCGAUGGUUUUGAUGGUGGUGUUGGCGUCGAGUGGGGUGACUGGUGUUGUUCAAUAACCCAUAGAUUCUUUGGAAAACUACUGAAUUCUUCCGUGUUCACGGUGGGCAUUGAGAGUAAGCUAACCUGAAAGAGUUUAUAUCUCUCAAAGUUACAAACCCUGCUUGCUAUUAGAACCUUACAUAACUUGAUGGGAAAACACUCGAUAACUGAAAUCAUUCCCUUUGAUGCCUUUCUACGGUGGGUUGUACCAAAUAUGCUGUACUUACUUACAGGUAAGUGAACGUAACAACAACUGAGAAGUGUUUAAGGCACAAUAAACAGUUGCUACAGAGGAUCCUUAUGUCAGAAGAUAGGCAAAUCUUGUCACAUAGAAGCUCAAUAUUUUGUGAACGUAAAAAUAAUUUGUCAAUAAUUUUUUUAACUCGAUUUUAUCUUAUUGUCUAUUUCAAAUUCUUAUUAAUUCGUACAAACUGGCAGUGUGUCUGUCUGUCUGUCUGUCUCUCUCUCAGAUAUACAUACACAAAUCACCUUUUCUCUGUUUGUCUGUCCUCCAGAUGAAGAUUACCAUGAUAUUAUUACUUACUAUAUUAUAUUAAGAAUCUUACGUACCGUAUAACAUUGCCACCAUUGCUAAUAACAGUAAUCUUAGAAAUAAUCGGUAAAUAAUCGAUGGUUAAACAACAUUAUGGUUAUAAUGUAGGAGUGGCUGUGUGGUAAGUGGCUUGCUUACGAACCACAUCGUUCCGGGUUCAGUUCCACUACGUGGCACCUUGGGCAAGUGUCUUCUACUAUAGCCUCGGGCCGGCCAAAGCCUUGUGAGUGAAUUUGGUAGAUAGAAAUUGAAAGAAGCCCGUAGUAUAUAUGUAUAUAUACAUAUGUAUGUGUGUGUAUGUGUUUGUGUGUCUGUCUUUGUCUCCCACCCCCAACAUCGCUUGACAACAGAUGCUGGUGUGUUUACGUACCCGUAACUUAGCGAUUCGGCAAAAGAGACCGAUAGAAUAAGUACUAGACUUCCAAAGAAUAAGUUCUGGGGUCGAUUUGCUAGACUGAAGGUGGUGCUCCAGCAUGGCCACAAUCAAAUUACUGAAACAAAUAAAAGAGUAAAAGAGUAAAUGACAUACAUUUAUUGCAAAUAUAGAAUUGCGAAAUUUGUUUAGGUUACUUUCAAUUUAAAAGAUUUGAUUCAUUUUGAAAAUUGCUAUUCACUUCUGUAGUUUUCAUUCCCAAUUAAAUGUGAAAGAUGCAAGAUUAUAAUUAUUGUACUAACGAAAUGCCCCACACCGGGGUGCUAACAUCACCCGCCGUACGACAGAUUGCACUCUCGUAUGUAACAGACAUCGAAGAAUAUGAGCAACAGGGUGAGAUAGAAAAAUCUUCCAUAUUUUACAUAACUAUCCUUGUAGCGUUAGAGAAUUUAAGUAGAUGAAAGUGGUGUUUUCAUGUAACUAAUGUAUUCUGCAAUUCUUUUAUUGCUGUGCACCAUAUAUAUAUAUAUAUAUAUAUAUAUAUAUAUCACGUGAUCACGUGACCGACCAGGCUAUCAGAUGUUGCUACAUAUCGCUGGUCACAAUGCGCUUCGCACUGUUUUAGCCUUCGAUGACGCCACCCCGCUGGCUAAGCGAGCAGGCCAACAGAAGAAAGAGUGAGAAAGUUGUGGUGAAAGAGUACAACAGGGAACACCACCACCCCCUGUCGGAGCCUCGUGGAGCUUUAGGUGUUUUCGUUCAAUAAACACUCACAAAGCCCGGUCUGGGAAUCGAAACCGCGAUCCUAAGACCGCGAAUCCGCUACCUUAACCACUGGGCCAUUGCGCCUCCACACACACACACACACACACACACACACACACAUAUAUAUAUAUAUAUUUGUUGUGCAAGAUUUUUAUGUGAAGUCGUGUGUUGAAACAGAUAUUGUUAUAUUUCGGAAUGGUCAUUUUGCCAGUUUAGCCAAUAAAAACACACGCACUAUAUAUUUGGUGUUAUUUUGCUUCAGUGUUAUUUAUUUUUACAUUAAUAUUAAUCUUAUUUCGACCUGUGACCGCAUCAGUGAUCCUUUGUUUUCUUCUUUCUUAUUUGUGUCUCUCUUUACUAACCGUCAGCCAUAAGUGGAUGUAAACACAUGAACAAAAUAAGAAUAAACAAAAACAACAACAACAAAAACAAAUUACAUGAACGUAUAUAAACAGAAGAUACAAAUAUUACAGGCACCCCCCACCCACACACACACACUAAAUAAACAUAGACGCACAUAGAGAUAUAAGCAUGCGCAAAUGAAGACGUACAAUAGAAAUACAAAAUGGCUGAUGGUUAGUAAAGAGAGACACAAAUAAGAAAGAAGAAAACAAAGGACCACUGAUGCGGUCACAGGGGUGUGACGAAAGAACUCUGGCCAAAAUAAGAUUAAGAUUGAUGUAAAAAAUAAAUAACACUGAAGCAAAAUAACACCAAAUAUAUAGUGCGUGUGUUUUUAUUGACUAAACUGGCAAAAUGACCAUUCCGAAAUAUAACAAUAUAUAUAUAUAUAUAUAUACAUAUACAUGUAAUUGUCUUUAACUAAUUGCAGUUUGAUAGCAAAUUUGCAUGAGUGAUAAAAUUGAAGAUUUUAAUAUUUAUUAUUAUUAUUUUUUUUAAUGAUAAUUAAUUCUGCUUUUCAUGUCUCCUGAUGAAUAUAAUCAAUGUUAUUAAAGAUAAGGAGGAAGGGUGGUAGUGAUUAAAGAAUUAUUAAUAUAUAUUCAAUAUCGAUAAUGAUAAUGACAUUUUCAAAACCUAAUUAAUUAUCUCAUGCAAGGAACCUAUGGAUGCUCAAAAGAAAUAUUCCUUACACGUUAAUUCUUACAAAUUUUAAUAAUUACUAAUCUCUCCAUUGAAUAGGUCCAUCCAACGAAAUGAUCAUCCAAAGUAGUCUUUGAUGUUCCUAAGAAGCAGAGAAAGUCAUAUGUUAAAGAAGUUGGCUUAGCCAUCACGUGAUUCCAAGUUCGAUCUCAUGUUGUUCUACCGCUUUUACCUACGAUCAUGGAAUUGAAUACCACAUUAAUUUAACGUGCCAUUUAAAAAAAUACUGAGAGGCGGAUUUAAAGAGAUUUGGCUGUCAUUUUCAGGAUGUCUAAUGACCAAGGAAACUGAACAGAAUCUCAUCGUGUAUAUGUGUAUUUGUGUGUGUGUAUUUGUGUGUGUGUGUGUGUGUGUGUGUGUGUGUGUGUGCAUGCAUAUGUAUGAAUUGCGUGGCGCCCGUUCAUGACUGUGUGUGAGUUUGCAUGCUGCUUAUUCCUUUGUGUCAUAGUUUGGUUUGAUAUUGCUCAGCAGUUCAGCGGUGCCCUUCGUUUCUCUCGAGUGGUUUGUGUUCUUGUAUAUAAAUCUCUUCACACAUACAAACAUUCAGUCACGCAUACAUAGAUAUAUGCAUAUAUAUAUAUAUACCAUAUGUAUAACUGCCGAUAGAUAGAUGAAAAGACGUUAUAUGCCUUAACCUUUCCAUGGCUUCACUCCAGUGACCGAAAGCAAUCAAAGAAUAAAAUGCUGUGUGUAACCGCUUACACCUUAAGAUACUAAAUAGUUAAUUAAAAUGUGUCCGUAUGAGGGUGGUGGGCUUAUGGCUGGGGUGUUUCAUUCGCUUCUGAAUUAUUCCAAAUAUUUUUGUUCUGUGGAAAUGCUAGUUUCUGGUCAGUCGUCUUAAAUAAAAUAAAUGGCUUCUAGUCAACACUCCUCUCUCACAUACGCUAUCUAUUUAUCUAUUCAUAUAUAUAUAUAUAUAUAUAUAUAUAUAUACAGUAGCAUACACGCUAUAUAUAUGUGUGUGUAGGUGUGUAUAUAUAUAUAUAUAUGUGUAUAUGUAUAUAUAGAUAUGCGUAUAUGUAUAUAUAUAUAUAUAUAUAUAUAUAUAUAUAUAUAUAUGUGUGUGUGUGUGUGUACAUAUGUAUAUAUAUGUGUGUAUAUAUGUAUAUAUAUGUGUGUAUAUAUGUAUGUAUGUAUAUAUAUAUAUAUAUAUAUAUAUAUAUAUAUAUAUAUAUAUCCUUUCAUUUGUCUUUUUUCACAGUCUUUUACUUGGUCUUCAUCUAAUUAGAAAAAUAUAUUUAAGACAAAAUCUAGGAUCACCCAGCCUUUUUGCAUUCUCUCUCUUUCUCUCAUUCUUUCUCUUUCUUUGUCUCUCUUUCUUUCCGUAACUUCUAGAAUAAAUAAAUAACAUAAACAUUAAAAAUAUACGAUAUGAAAAAAAUAAUUAUAUAAAAAACAUAUAAAAUAGGUGUUAAGUAGUCGAAACUGAAUUACUGAAUUUUUUUUGUAACUCUAGGGGUCCCCCACGUGGUUGUUCAAAGUGACAGGAGCUGCCGAAUCCAGAACAGUCUAAAGAGAUUUUCUCGACCACUCAGCCGACCAAUGUCAGAAAAGAGCACCAUUCAAAGCUAUAGGCAGUUGGGGACAAAUUCUGAAUUCUCUCCUGAUUGGCACUGUCCAAGAAGCAUCAUGACUGCACAGCGGGAAGCAGAUCCUCUCUGAAAUUAACCAAAUACGUUUUGCGAAAAAUCGAAAGACUCGCCUCAGAACAGCACUCACCUCAGGCAGCAAGCAACAGCAACAGAGAUUGUGUUUGUUUGUUUGUUUGUUGAUCGUUCAGGAAGAAAAAAAAAAAAAAACUAAAAAGACAAAACAAAAACAAAGAAAAACACGAUUUUUCUUCGUUCUUUUUUUUUAACUUUGUUAAUAAUUGAAGCAAAAAUAUCGUGUUUUUUUCUACUCCCAGUAAAUCGUUAAACAUUUUCUGUGCUAAGCUACAGAAAUUACGAUGGAAACUAUGUAAGUUAGUGUAAACGUAUAUUCUUAUGAAGAGAAAAAAAAAAGAAAAAUCUAUUUAUUAUAUUUUUCCAUAAGUAAACCCUACCCCUCAAAAAAAUGCGGCCAGUUGUUAGCAUGAGUAAGUCCAAUAAUGAAUAACAAAUCUUUCAGUUGUUUGAGGGAAUGAAAAAAAUAUGAAAGAAAAAAGAAAGAAAAAGCUUAAAAUUCAGGAAACGGCUAUUCUGAUUUUGAUGAAGCAGGAAACGAUUUUUCCAGUGAAAAAAUUGUUUUUUUGAAAUUUUUAUGCUAGAGUUUUUUUCCAUCUAUAUCAUGUAGUGUAUAUAAUGCGUAUAUUCUAUUUAAUAUAGUCAGUGUAUAAUAGAAAUAAGUUCUCUGUAUGUAGAUUAGAAUAGCUUAGAUUUUAGAUAAUUAUCUAUAGCGUAUUUUAUUGUUCUUUCUCUCCUUUCUUCUUUCCCAUUCCUCGUGUCUGCUACAGAGGUAAGUUUCUCGGAGAUAAGAAACUGCUUAUCACGGUUUCAGUUCUUGUUUCGUAUCAUUACAAUCUACUUAUCUACUUCCAUCCAUAAUGACGGAAGAACUCUAUAUGGUCCUUAGUAAAAUCAAUUUUCUCACCUCUCUCGUUAAGAAAUCCCAAUCUCAGUGUCUAUUACGCGUUAUCCCCCACCUCCUGUUUGUCUCUAUACGUUAGACAAGAUGUUUGUUCGGCAUACAUUUACAGAUGCAAUGUUUGGACACAUCGUCAGUGUUGUGAUCUGGAAUCACGGGUUGUUUCGGCUCUUACAACCAUAAACCUUCAGUCAGGCAAUCCGAUUACCUAAUUCAUCCAACUUAAGCCUGUGUCAUAUCGGCAUUCUUCUGACACCACCGAUCACCGCUUUUCAACGAAAACUAUCUAGAUGCUUUCUCAGCAACUAAUACGUUAUUUCUGAUGGCACUUCGGCUCAUCCCCAUAACACCCAGGGUUCCACGGGCCUUAUUCAGUGUAUCAUGACAUAGUUAGUAUAUAGCAG